GACGUAGGAGGCGAGCGUUAUCCGGAUUUACUGGGCGUAAAGGGCAAGUAGGCGGUAUAUCAAGUCAGUUGUGACAGAUCCCGGCUCAACUGGGAGAGGACGAUUGAGACUGAUGAACUAGAGGACAGGAGAGGGGAGCGGAAUUCCUUGUGUAGCGGUGGAAUGCUCAGAUACAAGGAGGAACACCAGUGGCGAAGGCGGCUCUCUGGUCUGAUCCUGACGCUGAAGAGCGAAAGCUAGGGGAGCGAACGGG
rnacentral:rRNA from 1 species